rnacentral:lncRNA from 1 species
AUGCUCUGAAUCAGCCUCCAAUACAUGAUACUGUUUCUCCCAUAGCCAGGAUUUACAGGUCCAGUAAUCAAGGGGUGGAAGUGGAAGCGGCACCACUCACUAUCACCCCUAGUGAUCUACUAGCAAAAUUUUUGCUUCCUAUUCCCAUGACAUUACAUUCUGCUGGCUUAGAGGUCUUAGUUCCAGAAGGAGGAGUGCUGCCACCAGGAGACACAACAACAAUGCCAUAAAACUGGAAGUUAAGAUUGCCAUCUGGACACUUUGGGCUCCUCCUACCUUUAAGUCAACAGGCUAAGAAGAGUGUUACAGUGUUGGUUGGGGUGACUGACCCAGACUAUCAAGAUGAAAUCAGUCUACUACUCCACAAUGGAGUUGCUGAAUGAUAAGCAAUAAUGGAAGGAGACUGUGAAAAUCACACUAGAGUGUCAAUGAAAAUCAUCUACAGUUGAUGGUAUCUAAAAGCGAUAAGACACUUCUGAAGUGGCCUUGUGACAUCAUCUCUGAAUAUAGAAGUUGAAUGAAAUAAGUUUGCAAGCACAUUCU